rnacentral:rRNA from 1 species
UACGAAGGGGGCUAGCGUUGUUCGGAAUUACUGGGCGUAAAGGGCGCGUAGGCGGUCCUGAUCGUCGGAUGUGAAAGGCCUGGGCUCAACCUGGGAAUGGCAUCCGAUACGGCGGGACUGGAGUGUGGGAGAGGUGAGUGGAAUUCCCAGUGUAGCGGUGAAAUGCGUAGAUAUUGGGAGGAACACCAGUGGCGAAGGCGGCUCACUGGACCGGAACUGACGCUGAGGCGCGAAAGCGUGGGGAGCAAACAGG